CCCUGGUGUGCAUUUCAUUCUAAAUAGGUACAUCGGCAUAUACGUUUGGAAUAAAGUUUUGUGACGGUGAUUUUUCAAAAUAUCUAAAAGUUUUUCUUCAGACAAAAAUAAAAACACCAAACCAGAAAAAAAAAAAAAAAAAAAACAAGUUAUGUCAAGUCACUUCAAAAUGUCCAACUUUAGCUGGGUAAAAGUAACUUUCAUAAAUAUUAGUCUAUAUUAAAUUGUGAAUUUUCAAUAGUCAGCCUCCAAUAAAUAAGACAGCAAAAUCUAGUUUACCAGCUUAGUCAAAUUGCAGUCUUCUAUUUUGAUAAUUAUUUUUUAAGAUAUGGACUGAAAUCUAAUUUUUAGAGACCUGUUCAUAAUAGCAUAUCAUUUGGAAGAUAGUAAGUGUAAUUCAAUUCAUGCUGUUCAGCAUUUUAUUUACCUAAAACAAAUAGGUUGCGAUUUAAUAUUGACUAUUUUAUUAACUCAGAGCAUCUGGGAAAACACUUAUGAUUAGGUUAAUUUAUGUUAUAUUUGCCCCUCAACUUGUAAAAGAUUAAUCAACCAUUUUAUGGUCUAAUUUAGGUGCCUAAUUGAAAACAGAGUCCAACACAUGCUACUCUGUCUUGCUAAUAAAUCUUGACAGCUUUGUAACAUGACGGUUUGUAUUUCAAAUUGUUGCAUAUACAUGCAGAUUUUUGAUCUUCACCCAGCAGCUUGAAGUGAGCUGCAUACUUGAUUUAAACUCCUGGGCUGAGAAAAUACAAUUACUUCGAAAAGGAUUAUCCCCAAUCAGAUCUUAUCUUCAGUUUCUCUUAAGGAAGGCAGAACCAGUCUUUGCCACCAAGUUUUUAGAAAAAGACUAGGAAAAUAGGGGAGAAAUCAGUUUUCUCAGCAUUUGUUAAAUUUAACAUGUAGGGAAAAUUGCUCUUUUCAGCCACUUGCUUUCCAGACAGAGAUUUCUGAAGCUCUGGGGUUUUAGAUUCUCAUUUUAAAGAAGUCUCCUCAAAGUGGUCUUCUGGUUAAUAAAUACAAGUUUGCCCUCUUGCUUGAUAUUUCUUUAAAUGAAGAAAUUCAUCCCAAGAGCUCUGGGGACAUCUCAUUUAACCCUGUGUUCUCCCACAUCUUUCAGCCUUAAAAAGGACACGUGGAAGAGAAUACAUGUAACUCUCAGUGGGGACACUGCUAUGUUUUCUCAGUCUUUAUACUUGAGGAUAUUUUUGUUAUUUUAAUGACUCCAUUGAUUCUCACUGUCCUGUGCAGGCAAAGAAUGGAAAGUACCCUAACGAUGUCAUUAUCCUCACUCUAGUUAUAAGCUAAAGUUGGAUGUCCUCGAUGUCCUGUUCAGAGCUGCUCUUCUUUUAAAGUGAAUGACAAAGUGAGCAACCUUCACAGAGGUCACUGGAGCUGCAACAGAAACCUUUUUGAGAGAGAGAGAGAGAGAGAGAGAGAGAGAGAGAACAACCACAACAGUUCAGGUUUGACCUCAUCCUGUAUCACCAGCAUCAUGUUUUCUCACUUGAGCAAGGGAGGCUGGCACAGAGGGACCUCUGGAGUAGGACUACCUUGGUUGGUGUAUCAGCAUUGCCUCUUUCUAGCCAGGAGACCUUGGGUCAGUUGCUUAACAGCUCUGUGCCUGUGUUUCCUCAUCUGUAAAAGUACCUACUUCACAGGAACGUAAUGAGGAUUAAAUUUGCUAAUCCUGUUAAACUUGAAACAGUGCCUGGCACAUAGGGAAAACAUUUAGUAAGUAUUACUACCAUGCUCUCAACCCCCCCCCACACUUUUUCCCAUGUGACCACAGCAUUAAAGCAUCAGCUUAGUUCGCACAACCAAAAAUGGAAAGAAGAGUCAAGAUGGGAAAGGAAUUUCUGCCUCUAUAAAGUCUAAGGAAUACUUCUAUAUUUAAAAAUAAUAAUAAUUACACAAUAUUUGGCUAACUUAAAUCCUAGAGGUCAUUAAAAUCUGUGACAAUCUGCCAAACUUAAGCCAAAUCAUUAAGAAAAACCUAUGAAAGAAUGUAUAUACUUAAUGUUAGAUCAAAGUUUAAAUCAAUGUGGAAAGCCUAAAUGUUUGAGACGGGCGUUUUUCCCGCUGGGCAUGUGGCAUGUGCGAGGUUCUGAACCGCCUCCCCCAUCCCAAUUUCUCAGACACGGUCACCCCUGGUAACCUAAGGUAAGGGCGGGUUUCACGAGAAGUUCCGAUCAACCCCAGGCGCCUCAUAAGCACCUGCUUUCAGAGGCCCGAUUCAAGAGUGAGUUGAAUGAUGAACUGGCAAAGUAAACCCAAAAGAGUUUUCAUCACAGACACGUUUGUUUUUUUCGCAGCGGUUGAGGCAGCGGCAAACCUCCCGUCCUCUGGCCGGUGGCAGGUCGGCUCCGCGUGGCCACUACGUGGGCUCCAUCCCACCAGGAACCCUCCUGUUGAGGCUGAUGGCAUCUCACUCAGCCACGUGGAAAGAACUGCAGUCUACGUGGGAGGCUCCAAGCAAACCCGCUCAGGCCCAGAGUUACUGGUUAGGCCCUUAGAUGGUCUGUGUAUCAGUCGAUAAAAUCCAACAACGACUCGCUCAGACACAGCCAAGACUUCCUUCUCCGACCCGCUACGAUGCUGACCUUCGGAUUCAGCCAUCGUGCCUGCAGUUUAACCCCUUCAAAAUGUCUCAGUGCCUUCAAAAUGUCUCCCUGCUCUCCUAUUUUCUAGCUUUGAGGAUUUGUUUUAACCACUUGUUUCUGAACUCCAACUCUGGCUAAUUAUUAUUUAUACUCUUCCCCAAUCUGCUGCCUGAUUGCACAGACGGAGCGGGAGCGGCCCAGGAGCGCGCCUCUGGCGAGCGGCAGAGCUGGGCCUGGCACACGGAACUCCGGAGGGAGUGGGUGGCGAACGGUGCCCCCUGGAAACCAGAUUUUAGCAAAAAAUCUCCUAGGUCAGCUUCUUCUCCCAGUGUGGUCUGUUUUCAAAGUUAACGGCCACCAUCAAAAUAAUUCAGUCCAACCAUUUGCCUAGACACCCGGAACAUUCCAAAUUAAUUUAAAAGUUUUGACUGAGCAGGGGAUUUAAAAGAUUCUCUUUUUUCCCCUUUGAGGGGGGAAAAAAAAUCCACCUACCCUGCGGCCACGCCCGGCGGGGCGAGCUGCUGCGUUUGCAGUUCGCUGGUCCCGCCGCGCGCUCCGCGGUGUCACCGCUUGGGCCUCCCGGGCGGGGUGAGUCCUGCUGGUCAGUGUAGAGAGGUGGCUGGGGACGAGGAUGCACUUCCCGACCCGGCGGCCCGGCCAGGCCCGGGGGCCUCCCAAGCCCAGCCUCCCCGCUGGCCGCUCGCACGGCGGCCCCGGGCACUGAUCCUGCCCGAAGCUCCCGGGCAGCGCUCCCUGCCUCAGGCGCGCGGCCAGCCUUUCCAGCGCGACUUCAGCGUUUGUGAGUCAAUCAAAAGGAACCGGGCAGGAGGACGGCGGCCGCCCGGCAGGUUGCGAGCAUCUUCCUAUGGGGAUUUCCACAGCCCGCCCCAGGUGCUUCUAGAACCGCCCGACGUUAAGGAUUCAGUUCUUUUCCGGCCGGUCCCUCCCAGCCCGGAUCCCAGCGCGUCCGAUCUCAGAAAAUCCCGGGCUGCCUCCGGCCUCCGGUGGCUUCUACCCGAAGGGACGCUAGUUACAGCCUGCCACCCCCGCCCCCGGAAUCGGCAUCCCCGGGGGAGGAGGAGCGGCGGUGGCAGAAGUAAUGACAACAAUACAAUCGGUGACAAUAGCUGGCAAUUAGGCCCCCCGCCUGCCAGCCAGGCACCUGACCGCGCCGGCGCAGUUGCUCCUCCCCAGCGCAGGAGAACCGCGCUGCCCACUGCCCAGAUGAGAGCACUGAGACCCGCGCGACCAGCGAGCUGCCAGGGCUGGGUCGUGCAUCCCGGCCAGGGGAUCCAGAGCCCCUCUGCGCAACAACCGGUGGCCAGGGCCCGGGGACGGUAGAAAGGGCUGACUGUCACGGCUGGCUAAACCUCGAGACUUGGGCAACUCCGGACAAUAAUAAAAACAUUAGGACAAAAGGGAGGGGGAGGGCGAGGCUGGAAAGAGAGCGGUUUUAAUCCGCUCGGUCAGCCCCCUUUUAUCUUCCAACCUCUCCCGGUUC
rnacentral:lncRNA from 1 species